AGACGAUGAAAAAAGCAUAUGGGGGGCCUCUUCUUCAGAAUCGUAAACACCUUCUAUGUAGUUUCCAAGAGAAAUGAAUAUUUCAUGAAUAUCUUCAAAAGAAUGCAAGGACCAUAGCUAAAACAAAGUUGUUAGAAUACAAUUUUUGAUAUGAUUCUUUCAUACACGUUCAUGCAAUAAACUGUAAACGCUAUAUUCUUCAAUUGAACUGGGAAGGUGACUUGUUAUGUCGUGAAUUCGAGUCAGUGUUUGUGGUUGUGAGUCAUUGGGCUAGAGAUAUACAGUUAGUACUCGAGAUUAAGAGAAUCUUGUUUCAGUCAGUUGUUCUUACAUUAAAAUAUCCCAAUACCAAAUCUAGGAAGGGCACACAAUGUUGAGGUUGAAUGAUGCGAUGGGCAUAAAGUUCAAUAAGCAAACAUAGCGUCAAUUUAUGUGGUGUCAAAAAGGUAGUAUAAAAAUUUUUUUUUGAAGAAUUUGUUUUUAAAGGUAUGGGAAAUAUUGGUGUUACCAUUGACAUCGCGGGACUCUGCAUGGUUAAAUAGGUAAGCAGUACACGAUCGUCUCUCAAUCCUAUAAUUUAUAGCAAUGCACCAAAUUUUCUCAAUCACAAACAGUUCGAAUGUUCUAUGUACCAAAUAAAACCUCUUUAUCGAAGAAGGCUGGAACAGUAAUAUGUAAAUGGCAUGUAUACGUUCAGAAGUGCGAUGGUU